AAAACUUUCAACAACGGAUCUCUUGGUUCUGGCAUCGAUGAAGAACGCAGCGAAAUGCGAUAAGUAAUGUGAAUUGCAGAAUUCAGUGAAUCAUCGAAUCUUUGAACGCACAUUGCGCCCAUUAGUAUUC
rnacentral:rRNA from 1 species